CCGGUUUGGCUCAGUGGAUAGAGCGUCGGCCUGAGGACUGAGGGGUCCCGGGUUUGAUUCCGGCCAAGGGCAUAUGCCUGGGUUGCGGGCUCGAUCCCCAGUAGGGGUGGGGAGUGUGCAGGAGGCAGCUGAUCGAUGUCUCUCUCUCAUCGAUGUUUCCAACUCUCUUUCCCUGUCCCUUCCUCUCUGUAAAAAAUCAAUAAAAUAUAUUAAAAAAAAGAA